rnacentral:rRNA from 1 species
AGUGAACGCUGGCGGUAGGCCUAACACAUGCCAGUCGAACGGCAGCACAGUAAGAGCUUGCUCUUACGGGUGGCGAGUGGCGGACGGGUGAGGAAUACAUCGGAAUCUACUUUUUCGUGGGGGAUAACGUAGGGAAACUUACGCUAAUACCGCAUACGACCUACGGGUGAAAGCAGGGGAUCUUCGGACCUUGCGCGAUUGAAUGAGCCGAUGUCGGAUUAGCUAGUUGGCGGGGUAAAGGCCCACCAAGGCGACGAUCCGUAGCUGGUCUGAGAGGGUGAUCAGCCACACUGGAACUGAGACACGGUCCAGACUCCUACGGGAGGCAGCAGUGGGGAAUAUUGGACAAUGGGCGCAAGCCUGAUCCAGCCAUACCGCGUGGGUGAAGAAGGCCUUCGGGUUGUAAAGCCCUUUUGUUGGGAAAGAAAAGCAGCAGGUUAAUACCCCGCUGUCCUGACGGUACCCAAAGAAUAAGCACCGGCUAACUUCGUG